rnacentral:rRNA from 1 species
AACUCUUAGUGGUGGAUCACUCAGCUCGUGCGUUGAUUAAUGUGAAUUGCAGGCCACAUCACUGAUCAUCGAUGCUUCAAAUGCAGUUGCGGCCCUGUUUUCCUGCUGGGGCUAUGGCUGUCUGAGUGUCG